rnacentral:rRNA from 1 species
UUCUGACCCGCACGAAAGGUGUAAUGAUCCCUUCGCUGUCUCGGCUGCAGACUCGGUGAAAUUUUAGUACCGGUGAAGAUGCCGGUUACCCGCAACUAGACGGAAAGACCCCGUGGAGCUUUACUAUAACUUGAUAUUGAAAUUUGGUGUAACGUGUAGAGGAUAGGUGGGAGACUAUGAGACCAGGACGCCAGUACUGGUGGAGUCAACCUUGGAAUACCACCCUCGUUACAUUGGGUUUCUAACUUCGACCCGUUAUCCGGGUUAAGGACAGUGUCUGGUGGGUAGUUUGACUGGGGCGGUCGCCUCCCAAAAAGUAACGGAGGCGCUCAAAGGUAUCCUCAGUAUGGUUGGAAAUCAUACAUAGAGCGCAAAGGUAGAAGGAUGCUUAACUGCGAGACUUACAAGUCGAACAGAUACGAAAGUAGGACUUAGUGAUCCGGCGGUCCCGAGUGGAAGGGCCGUCGCUCAACGGAUAAAAGUUACCCCGGGGAUAACAGGCUUAUCUCCCCCAAGAGUUCACAUCGACGGGGAGGUUUGGCACCUCGAUGUCGGCUCAUCGCAUCCUGGAGCUGUAGUCGGUUCCAAGGGUUGGGCUGUUCGCCCAUUAAAGCGGUACGCGAGCUGGGUUCAGAACGUCGUGAGACAGUUUGGUCCCUAUCUGUUGUGGGCGUAGGAAAAUUGAAGAGAGCUGUUCCUAGUACGAGAGGACCGGAAUGGACGCACCCCUGGUGCUCCUGUUGUCACGCCAGUGGCAUAGCAGGGUAGCUAUGUGCGGACAGGAUAAUCGCUGAAGGCAUCUAAGCGAGAAGCCCCCUUUAAGAUGAAUUUUCCCAUUUGUAAGAUGUAAG